rnacentral:rRNA from 1 species
AAUUGGAGGGCAAGUCUGGUGCCAGCAGCCGCGGUAAUUCCAGCUCCAAUAGCGUAUAUUAAAGUUGUUGCAGUCAAAAAGCUCGUAGUUGAAUUUCGGGAUCAAUAUUUCGGUCAUGCCGUUGGUAUGCACUGUUAUCAUUGAUUUCUCACCUUCUAAAGAACCGUAAUGCCAUUAAUUUGGUGUUACGGGGAAUUAGGACUGUUACCUUGAAAAAAUUAGAGUGUUUAAAGCAGGCUCACGCUUGAAUACAUUAGCAUGGAAUAAUGAAAUAGGACAUCCGAUUCUAUUUUGUUGGUUUCUAGGAUCGAUGUAAUGAUUAAUAGGGAUAGUUGGGGGCAUUAGUAUUCAAUUGUCAGAGGUGAAAUUCUUGGAUUUAUUGAAGACUAACUACUGCGAAAGCAUUUGCCAAGGAUGUUUUCAUUAAUCAAGAACGAAAGUUAGGGGAUCGAAGACGAUCAGAUACCGUCGUAGUCUUAACCAUAAACUAUGCCGACUAGGGAUCGGAUGAUGUUAAUUUUUUAAUGACUCAUUCGGCGCCUUACGGGAAACCAAAGUGU